rnacentral:rRNA from 1 species
GAACGCCGAAGAAGGGCGCGGCAAGCAGCGAAACGCCCCGGGUAAGCGCAUGCAGCUGUAGAACCGGGGAUGCCUCAAUGAGACCUCUCACCAAAGAUUCCUCGGAAUCCAAGGUGCUCCCACAAAGGGAGCGGGAACCCCCUGAACGGAAACAUCUUAGUAAGGGGAGGAAAAGAAACCAAAACGGGAUUCCCCCACUAGCAGCGAGCGAAAAGGGAACAGUCCAAACCGAAUCCCAUAAGGAAACUUACGGGAGAUGUAGUGUUGCGGGACCAGCCUCCUUCUUACCGACUAAGCCAAAGUGGCCUGAAAAGGCCCGCCAAAGACGGUGACAGCCCGGUAGGCACAAACCGGAAGAAGAUGGGCAGGAACCCCAGAGUACCACACCUCGGUUUAGGUGUGAAAAGCUGGAAGCCACCAACUUCCAAGACUAAAUACGUUUCAAGACCGAUAGCGCACUAGUACGGUGACGGAAAACUGAAAAGUACCCCGAAAGGGGGGCGAAAAGAACCUGAAACCAGACGGUCACAGACGUGUGCAGCCUAGAAGGAUAGAUCCCUCCCAAAGGAACCUGCGGCAACGCAACAGUACGAAGGAGGAGGACCAGGGUUGCAAAAUCCGUCUCGAAACACGGGCCGGGGAGUUCACAGCCGUGGCAAGCCUAAGAGCCACAAAGCUCGUAAGCACAGGGAAACCAAAACGCGCACAACUGGCGCAAGCCAGCCAGGCGCUGGGUCUGAAAUGGCCCGAAGUCACGGCUAUGACACUAGAAACCGGGCGAUCUAGCCCUGGGCAGGUCGAAGUCAGGCGAAAGCCUGGUGGAGGACCGAAGGGGUGCUGACGUGCAAUUCGUUCCUCAGACCUGGGGCUAGGGGCUAAAGACCAAUCUAGCCCGGUGAUAGCUAGUUCCCUCCGAAGUGGGUCGCAGCCCAGCCUCGAGCGAGGUAGCCGAUGGGGUAGAGCACUGAUUGGAAAGUAAGGGGUCGAAAGGCUCCGCUUUUCUUUCAAACUCCGAAUCCAUCGGCGCCGUAGACCUCGAGAGACGGGUUCUAGGGGGUAAGCUCCUAGUCCGAGAGGGGAACAACCCAGACUGAGGUUAAGGCCCCAAAGUGCUGGCUAAGUGUUAAACUGAAAGGCGUCGUCAGCCCCAGACAGCGGGGAGGUAGGCUUAGAAGCAGCCACCCUUCAAAGAAAGCGUAACAGCUCACCCGCCGAGGCUGA